AAAAGGCGGCGUAAGCUGUCGCUAAAGGAUGGACCCGCGGUGCAUUAGCUAGUUGGUAAGGUAACGGCUUACCAAGGCGACGAUGCAUAGCCGAGUUGAGAGACUGAUCGGCCACAUUGGGACUGAGACACGGCCCAAACUCCUACGGGAGGCAGCAGUAGGGAAUCUUCCACAAUGGGCGAAAGCCUGAUGAAGCAACGCCGCGUGAGUGAAGAAGGUUUUCGGAUCGUAAAGCUCUGUUGUUGGUGAAGAAGGAUAGAGGUAGUAACUGGCCCCUAUUUGACGGUAAUCAACCAGAAAGUCACGGCUAACUACGUGCCAGCAGCCGCGGUAAUACGUAGGUGGCAAGCGUUGUCCGGAUUUAUUGGGCGUAAAGCGAGCGCAGGCGGAAAGAUAAGUCUGAUGUGAAAGCCCCCGGCUUAACCGAGGAAUUGCAUCGGAAACUGUGUUUCUUGAGUGCAGAAGAGGAGAGUGGAACUCCAUGUGUAGCGGUGGAAUGCGUAGAUAUAUGGAAGAACACCAGUGGCGAAGGCGGCUCUCUGGUCUGUAACUGACGCUGAGGCUCGAAAGCAUGGGUAGCGAACAGGAUUAGAUACCCUGGUAGUCCAUGCCGUAAACGAUGAGUGCUAAGUGUUGGGAGGUUUCCGCCUCUCA
rnacentral:rRNA from 1 species